rnacentral:rRNA from 1 species
GCCCGGUAGCUAAAUGCGGAAGAGAUAAGUGCUGAAAGCAUCUAAGCACGAAACUUGCCCCGAGAUGAGUUCUCCCUGACUCCUUGAGAGUCCUGAAGGAACGUUGAAGACGACGACGUUGAUAGGCCGGGUGUGUAAGCGCAGCGAUGCGUUGAGCUAACCGGUACUAAUGAACCGUGAGGCUUAACCUUACAACGCCGAAGCUGUU